UGUCGAACAAAACAUGGACAUCAAUAGACAAGUUCUCCUCGGACUAUUCUUCCUUUUGCUGUGGACCUCAGGUUUUGUUGAUGGCAAUGUAGUCACCCAGACCUCCACACUGUGGAAAAAGCAGGGUGAAAAUGCCACGAUGGACUGCAGCCACACAAAGGGUGACUUCUACUUCCAGAUGUACUGGUACAGACAGCUGCCAGGAGAAACUAUGAAACUUAUCGUGUUCACAACGACAACCAACAGAAAUCAUGACUUUGGAGAUUCCAGCAAAGACAAAUUCUCAGCCACCAAGCCUGACGCUGGGAGCGGAACAUUCACAGUGAAGAAUCUGACGCCAGAAGACAAAGGCUUGUAUUUCUGUGUUGUCAGUCAACAACACAGUGAUACAGACUCAUGCGAAAGCUGA